rnacentral:rRNA from 1 species
GACGAACGCUGGCGGCGUGCCUAAUACAUGCAAGUCGAGCGGACUGAAUGGGAGCUUGCUCUUGUUCGGUCAGCGGCGGACGGGUGAGUAACACGUGGGCAACCUGCCCGCAAGACCGGGAUAACUCCGGGAAACCGGAGCUAAUACCGGAUAACACCGAAGACCGCAUGGUCUUUGGUUGAAAGGCGGCGCAAGCUGCCACUUGCGGAUGGGCCCGCGGCGCAUUAGCUAGUUGGUGAGGUAACGGCUCACCAAGGCGACGAUGCGUAGCCGGCCUGAGAGGGUGACCGGCCACACUGGGACUGAGACACGGCCCAGACUCCUACGGGAGGCAGCAGUAGGGAAUCUUCCGCAAUGGGCGAAAGCCUGACGGAGCGACGCCGCGUGAGCGAAGAAGGCCUUCGGGUCUUAAAGCUCUGUUGUGAGGGACGAAGGAGCGCCGUUUGAAGAAGGCGGCGCGGUGACGGUACCUCACGAGGAAGCCCCGGCUAACUACGU